AGCAGCCGCCGCGGUAAUACAGAGGGUGCGAGCGUUAAUCGGAUUUACUGGGCGUAAAGCGUGCGUAGGCGGCUUCUUAAGUCGGAUGUGAAAUCCCUGAGCUUAACUUAGGAAUUGCAUUCGAUACUGGGAAGCUAGAGUAUGGGAGAGGAUGGUAGAAUUCCAGGUGUAGCGGUGAGAUGCGUAGAGAUCUGGAGGAAUACCGAUGGCGAAGGCAGCCAUCUGGCCUAAUACUGACGCUGAGGUACGAAAGCAUGGGGAGCAAACAGGAUUAGAUACCCGCGUAUCCCUGUCUCUUAUACA
rnacentral:rRNA from 1 species